rnacentral:rRNA from 1 species
ACCUUAUCGAUAAACAAUUGGAGGGCAAGUCUGGUGCCAGCAGCCGCGGUAAUUCCAGCUCCAAUAGCGUAUAUUAACGUUGUUGCAGUUAAAAAGCUCGUAGUUGAAAUGAAGGGUAGUUGUGUAAUGAAUACAUUCGUGUAUUUUGUUAUUCUACUACCCUCCUUCUAAAUUCGAUAUAUGAGUAUUAAUUUACUUGUAUAUGGUUUUAGACGUUUACUGUGAGAAAAUUAGAGUGUUCAAAGCAGGCAUUUGCUUGAAUAUAUUAGCAUGGAAUAAUCAUGUAUGAUUUUCAUGAUGUAUUUGAUUGGUUUGGUUCAUGAGAAUAAGAUUAAAAGGGACAGUUGGGGGUAUUCAUAUUCAAUAGUCAGAGGUGAAAUUCUCGGAUUUAUGGAAGAUGAACAAGUGCGAAAGCAUUUACCAAGGAUGUUUUCAUUAAUCAAGAACGAAAGUUAGGGGAUCGAAGAGGAU